rnacentral:rRNA from 1 species
GGUGUAGCGGUGGAAUGCGCAGAUAUCAGGAAGAACACCGAUGGCGAAGGCAGGUCUCUGGGCUGUAACUGACGCUGAGAAGCGAAAGCAUGGGGAGCGAACAGGAUUAGAUACCCUGGUAGUCCAUGCCGUAAACGUUGGGCACUAGGUGUGGGGGACAUUCCACGUUUUCCGCGCCGUAGCUAACGCAUUAAGUGCCCCGCCUGGGGAGUACGGCCGCAAGGCUAAAACUCAAAGGAAUUGACGGGGGCCCGCACAAGCGGCGGAGCAUGCGGAUUAAUUCGAUGCAACGCGAAGAACCUUACCAAGGCUUGACAUAUACUGGACCGCAUCAGAGAUGGUGUUUCCCUUCGGGGCUGGUAUACAGGUGGUGCAUGGUUGUCGUCAGCUCGUGUCGUGAGAUGUUGGGUUAAGUCCCGCAACGAGCGCAACCCUUGCCCUAUGUUGCCAGCACGUGAUGGUGGGGACUCGUGGGGGACUGCCGGGGUUAACUCGGAGGAAGGUGGGGAUGACGUCAAAUCAUCAUGCCCCUUAUGUCUUGGGCUUCACGCAUGCUACAAUGGCCGGUACAGAGGGUUGCGAUACUGUGAGGUGGAGCUAAUCCCUAAAAGCCGGUCUCAGUUCGGAUUGGGGUCUGCAACUCGACCCCAUGAAGUCGGAGUCGCUAGUAAUCGCAGAUCAGCAACGCUGCGGUGAAUACGUUCCCGGGCCUUGUACACACCGCCCGUCAAGUCACGAAAGUUGGUAACACCCAAAGCCGGUGGCCUAACCUUUUUGGAGGGAGCCGUCUAAGGUGGGAUUGGCGAUUGGGACUAAGUCGUAACAAGGUAGCCGUACCGGAAGGUGCGGCUG